UCUAUGUACGCAGCCAAAUUUUAACUUGCUCUCACUAACACAUAUGUAUGUGGAGCAAAUGUCAGUUUUUGUGUUUUGUUUUUCAUUUUUCGUUGCGCUCUCAAGUACAUUUCUUAAAAGUGGAAUUUAUAUCCGGAUUUUUUACGCUGACACCGACGAGAAGCAGCAAACGGCGGAGAAAGAGCAACGAGGACUGCAAAACAAUAACAGCUGAUAUGGUAUGUCGCCCGAUUCCUGGACCAAGGAGAUGAUUUCACCCAUCGGGUGUCGGGGCGGAAACGCUAUCACUGGAGCGUGGAUUCGAUGGAUUGACUGGCGUGAUUAUCGUCUUCGAGUCCGGGUGGCUCUACAUUGUUCAUCCGCCGAGUUCGAGUCCAUUCGUCAAGAGGUGAAAAGUUCGACACACUGUCGGAGUUGGGGCAGUACGGAUGUCAGGGUAACCUGUCCGGCAAGAGGGCGGAACGAUUGAUCCUGGAACGGGAUCUCAGAGCAAACCGGGUGACUGUACUUUCGGUGCGGACAGAGGAAAAAGUGACCACGUCAUCAUUCGGUGGCACGAGAAAAAUACGACGUCUGCGGCGGCCAGAAAUUCAACACCCUGUGCGACCUGAUCGAGUACUACAAGCAGAACCUGAUGGUGGAGACAUGAGGUACCGAGGUGCACAUGCGGCAACAGUACAACCUGACGCAUAUCACGGCCACUGGACCCGAAGCCCCGGUCGGGCAGCUGGGAGCGAUGCCGAUGCUGUAAAAUGAAUGUGAAAAAUGAGAAGAAUCCGGGAUACGUUUUCACAACAGAUUUCAAAUAAUUAAACAUGAAAAUCUUGAAUAUAUGUACAAUAAUAAAGGAAUGGAUUGUUAUCACACGUCCGAACUAAACUUUAACAGGGAGUUAUUGAUGGAAAUCGCCGGAAGCAAGAGAUAUGGAAAAUUCCUCCAAUUUAUGGGAAUCCUCUUGGGAGUUCUAUGGAACUCUGCGAAAACCCUGUGGGAGUCAGUGAUGGAUUUCUUGGUAACUCAAAAGGGAAUUCCUGUGGAAAUUAUUAAGUCAAUUCUGGAAAAUUACUGCGAUAAUUUCAAUAUAUUCUAUUAGGAGAGCUGUAUUAUUUUGGAGAACCCAUUCGGGAAGAAAUUACACACCACAGGAAAUGAUGGAGAAUUUCUUUGGGAGUCCUGGGGAAUUAAUUCAAGAAUUCAAUGAAACGAAAACUCAUUCGGGAAUUUUAUAGACGUCAUUUGGGUUUUCUAUGGAGCUACUGACGAAAAUGGUCGCGAAUUAAAAAAAAAUCGAAUUCUCAUAGAACCGUAAG